rnacentral:rRNA from 1 species
UACGUAGGGUGCGAGCGUUGUCCGGAAUUACUGGGCGUAAAGCGUGCGAAGGCGGUUUCUUAAGUCAGAUGUGAAAGCCCCGGGCUUAACCUGGGAACUGCGUUUGAAACUGGGAGACUUGAGUGUGGCAGAGGGGGGUGGAAUUCCACGUGUAGCAGUGAAAUGCGUAGAUAUGUGGAGGAACACCGAUGGCGAAGGCAGCCCCCUGGGUUAACACUGACGCUCAUGCACGAAAGCGUGGGGAGCAAACAGG